GCCCCUUCCCUCUUGCUCCAAACCGCCACCGGGCGGCCACCCACCCUCCCAACGCCCCUCCCCGUCAGCGCCCCACCUCCCGACGCCCCUCCCCACACGGCGCCCCUCCCUCCCAACGCGCCCCACCCUCCUGAUGCCCCUCCCCACCGGCACCGCCAGCGCCGCCUCCCGCUCGGCCCCGCCCGGCGAGUCGCGUAGGAGGGAAGCGCCACCGGCAGUGGCCGCGGCGAGAUGAGUGGCGGGGGAGGCGGCUGCGGCGGCGCUCAGCCGCGAGCGCGGUGUUCUACACGUAGAAGAACCAGCCACGGGCAAGCAGGGAGGGAAUCGCUUCUCCUCGCCGACCGUCUCCCGCGCCUCCUUCCAUCGCCUAUGCGCCUCACCGGUCUCUGCCCUCCCCUUCACCGUUGCGGCACCUCACCGGACGUGGCCGAACCCGGACCAGAUCCACUCGUCGCGGAAGGAGGGCUGGCACGACCACCCGACCUGGCGUCGGCGUAAGAUAAAAUCAUGGUGUUGCAUUUCCAUGGAAUUGGAGUUAAUUCUGUUUAUGUGUUUGCUCUUGAUUUGGGGACGUUUGCUAGCCAUGGCAUUCAGCCUUCUCUGUCCAUCACGCUCGCAGGACUACCUUCUCAGUCGUAUGCUACAGGCUCAAUAGGGAUAAUUGAAAAAGGAGCUCCAGCCUCCAGGCAAUGGCGUUCUAUGGCGGUGUGUGCAAUAUUCUAAUUGCUAAGGUCAAUAUUCUAAUUGCUAGGGUCAAUAUUCCGACGGACCUAAGCCACACCGCUCGCCUCACCUCACCGGCGCCGCCAUCUCCAUAGCCCUCCCCACGCCGCCGUGCCGCCCGCCUCACCUCACCGCUGAGCCGCCCUCCCCAUGCCCCGCCUUGCUCCCCUCUGCCCUACUCCUCCCCCAAACCGCAUCUUCUCCCCGACUCUCCCAAGCUCCCAACAACUGCAUCGGCACUUCGUCACCGCGCGCCGCUGGUUUCUCCGCCGCCGCCCACCCCAGUUCCUAGCCAACGUCGUCGCCGACAUCGUGCGCACUCCAACCGUUGUCUCCCCCGCUUGUGCAUGCCUCGCCGCCGAUCCCGCCUACACACGUCGCUGUCGACGGGGGAUACCCGUAGACCGGAGUAUUGGGGUCCGUUGGUACGAGGAUCUACGUAGGACGACAUCAAGCAAACAAAAUACAAGGAUUAUACUGGUUCAGGCCCCUUGGUAGGUAAUAGCCCUAAUCCAGUUGGUAUGGGAUUAUAUGAUGGAAACCACAUAUUACAAAGGGAAUAACAGAACUCAAUGAUACCGACGAGACCGUAGUCGAGUUGGUCCGACUAGAUCUCCCGGCGACUUGGCUCCUGCAUGCUCCGGCUCUGUAGGCUAUGGUGGGUGUGUUGGCGAUGAUAUUUGGUGCCUUAGGUCUUGCCCAGAGGGUCCCUUAUAUACCGCGGGUCCGUUGAUCUCCAAGUAGAACUCGGAGAUAUCGGACCCCUCACGAUAUGGUAAAGACCCAGUCUUGUCCGAGUAGAACUCCUUCCAUCCGUAGAUAUCAUAUCUAUCACGUGAUAGAUUUCCUUAAUGUAUACGGAAACUAUCCGUAUACGCGCGGGUAUACCGUAUCAGUAUACAACGUACAUCCAAGGAUAGAGGGUAUACCUUAUCCGUAACCCUGACAGUAGCCCCCGACUUCUGCUUAAAUGAGCUCAUGCUAUCGAUCGCGACUUCUGAUGUCGGAAUUGUUAUCGCUCUCAUCCGGUCGAUCUCGGUGUGAAAACCGUAGAGACAAAGAGCCAUCGACAACACCGCGUGAAGUUCAACGGUCAUGAGUGAAUUUAAAUUGAAGUCUGAAAAACUACCACAUGCAACGGACCCAAAAUUUUCUGGCGGCAAUCUCUCUCCUUUCCUUGGAAUACGCACCAUUGGAAGUGCGUUUAUUUAAAGGGAUUUUGGGGAUCCAUUUGAAGUCCGUUUGCCAGAAAACUCUCCUGCCUUCUAGCGCUCUUCGUCUUCUCCGCUCCUCGCAAAGAAAACCCUAGCUCACUUCCUUCAUCCUGUUCUCCGGCGAUCCUCCGGCGGCAAUGGACCUUGAGAAGUCUUCCUCGAACACCGUGUCCAUGAAGAAGCUGCAGGACGACGGUGCCCUCCCCGGCCACGGGACCAUGCAGAGGGAGGCUGGAGAUACAAAACCUGAACCCAUCUUGGGCCGCAUGGUUGUAGUCGAAGAUUAUGUUUCUUGCGGUUUACUUCCUCCGCCUUCCGAGUUUCUUCUUCUUGUCUUGAAUUUCUACGGCCUUUCUUUGCUUCACUUGAAACCCAACUCCAUCGCUUUUCUGGGCAUCUUCCCUCGUCUUUGCAAGGCCUACAUUUGGGGUAGUGCCCUUCCUUGACCUCUUCCGUUUUUAUUACGAGCUGCGUUGGAUGGAAUCCAACAGGGUAUCUGGAUACGUCGGGUUCCGACUUCGGGAUGGCCUGAAGUCGCGUUACAUCCCCUUCCAGUGCCCCUCUUCUCGCAGCAAGUGGCGGACGAGAUGGUUCUAUCUCCAGAUAGAGAACUCGGACCCCGCCCUAGUUAUUCCUGAGGACCAGCCAGAAAAGAUCCCAGAGUGGACUGCUAAACAUGCCCUCACCCUCCUCACCUCUGCAUCCGCUUUUGUCGCCCCUCUCCCUCUUGUAUCCGUUAACUACAAAAUUGAUUUCGAUUUGAUUGCUCCUAAACGUUACUCCCUCGCGCGCCAUAAAAUCCCACCUACAGGACAAGACAGAAACAUACAUCUGAAGCUCUGCUCUGUACCUCCUCUCGUUGGUUCCUCUCCGUUAUGUUCCUGUGCUAGCUUCUGCCUCUCUGGUUCUGAUCAUCUGUGCGUACGGGUGCUCGGGGCGAGAAGGCCUCCCUUUUUGUUUUGUUCCUGCGCUAGCUUCUGCUUCCCCUGUUCUGAUCACCUGCGCACACGGGUGCUCAGGAUGAGCAAGCCUCUGAAACUCCACUCGCUUGUGUACCUGUACGGGUAGGGGGGUGAUCAAGUUUUUGGGUAGUGCUUUUGCGCGCUUUCUCUUGGCUGCAACAACUACUUCCUGCAACGCCACUCGCCACUGCAUCCUCUUCGACAAUGCUCUGCACUGCGACAUCUUCUUCCUCUACAUCAAUUUCCAGCAUGUCGACCGGAGGAGGCAUCAACGGAGGAUGGACUAGAGGAGAUGAGAACGACAACACCAACGGAGGCAACAACACCGACAAAGCCUCAUUCAGUACCAGAGCGUUCUCCGGGUAUGUGAUGUUCUUCAUAUUUGUGUUAUACAUGGUUUUUGAUGAUGCUUUUCUAGCUAUUAGCAUGUUCAUGUUUAUCACUAGUAUUAGAUCCUCCAACUAUGCAAAUGUCAUGUUUAGUAUAAUAUUCUUCUGGAUUAAAAUAUGUCGAAUAACAUCCAUAUUUCCAACAGCAGAUAAACUAAUAAAUCUAAAUCAACUUCAGUGUCAGAAAACGAUGAGGAGGUGCAGGUAGAGCCAUCCUCUUUGUUCAUCUAAUCAUCUUGUGCUUCUUCUGUCCAGUCCACACGCCUUCUGCAUUUCCAUCAUCAUCGACCAUGUCAGACCUUGUUCUGCAACAUCUCUUCCAUCAAGUCAAGCCCUAAUAAUUCAGAUUAGUUUCAGGUUCUUCUGGGGAGAUGUUUACCUGUAUGAUGUAUUGCUGUGUACUUGUAAAAACGAUGCAAUGUAAAUCUGUGGUAAAGUUAUGUUCGAUUUCACUCGAAACAAACAAACAAAAAAGUUCGGUUAGUGAUACUAUCAGUUGCAAAAUUGACCCCGUUUGUCCAAAUUAGACAUGAAGGAAAGGAAAGGAAAGGAGGUCGUCUGCAGAUCGGGGGCUCACCUCGGAUUAUCUCAGGUUUGCCGGCGAGCGGAGUCGAACUCGAUCGAACCCUAGACUGAUGAUGAAUUGAUGAGUGAGGAAGAAGAGGGGGGGAGGGAAAUCCACAGCUGCAAGCCUGCCUUUAAUUCGGAUCUGAUCGGGCUCGCCGACAUGCGCGCCCAAACUGUUACUACUACUUCAAUUUGCGUUUACCUGAAACUAAUUUUUGAAA